AUUGAACGCUGGCGGCAUGCCUUACACAUGCAAGUCGAACGGUAACGCGGGGCAACCUGGCGACGAGUGGCGAACGGGUGAGUAAUAUAUCGGAACGUGCCCAAUAGUGGGGGAUAGCCCGGCGAAAGCCGGAUUAAUACCGCAUGAGACCUGAGGGUGAAAGCGGGGGAUCGCAAGACCUCGCGCUAUUGGAGCGGCCGAUAUCAGAUUAGGUAGUUGGUGGGGUAAAAGCCUACCAAGCCGACGAUCUGUAGCUGGUCUGAGAGGACGACCAGCCACACUGGGACUGAGACACGGCCCAGACUCCUACGGGAGGCAGCAGUGGGGAAUUUUGGACAAUGGGCGCAAGCCUGAUCCAGCAAUGCCGCGUGCAGGAUGAAGGCCUUCGGGUUGUAAACUGCUUUAGUCUAGGAAAAAGGGGUGCGAGGUUAAUACCCUCGUGCUUUGAUGGUACUGGAAGAAUAAGCACCGGCUAACUACGUG
rnacentral:rRNA from 1 species